UACUUGGCAACUAGCGGGUAC
rnacentral:siRNA from 1 species